GAGACUGGUACCCAGAGAGACAACUACCCUGCAUGUCCAGGAGGAGGAUCUAAAAUCACACCCCAACCCAACUGCACCAGAUGGCAAUAUCACCAAGCCCAAAACUGAGAAGGGGGCUAGUCAAAGUAAAAAAGUAAGUAAUGUUGACAAACAUGUCAGUAAAAUAUUUGUUCGAAUGAAGCACAGUAUUUGAUCAAGCCAGCACUGCAACACCAGAUCAUCUGGCCAUGGAAUACUGUGUUCUCUUUUCAUCCAGAGCAGAAAGCAAUGCUGCCCAAAACAGGAAGGCCACAGAUUAUUAUCCUAUUAGACAAGAGUUUCAGAGAAAGCAAAGCUGAAUUGAAGGUCAGUUUAUAAUACCAGAGUGGGUUGUGCUUGAAGAUCAACCGUGCCAUGCAAGAACAAGUAAAAAAAAACAUGUUCUUGCUCAGAAUUGAAUGUAAUCAAUGACACCUUGAUUACAUGAUAAAAAAAUGGAGUUGAAGAAGGACUGCAGGUUAGUUUAGAAAUUAAAGUAACAUUGUACUGAAAUGGAUCAUAUAACCUGGAAUUUGAUUUGACCUGUACUUGAACCCCAAUAGGCCAAACAUAUAGAGGGGAAGGGAAGAGUAGUAUUUGCUGUCAGAUAUUUCAAGAAGGGAAAGUUUGUAAUUGAGUAUCAUGGAGACUUGUUGCAUCUGGCUGAUGCCAAGGAGAGAGAGGCUCUGUAUGCCCAAGACCCUGGGACUGGCUGCUACAUGUCCCAUUUCCAGUAUCUCAGCAAAACAUACUGGUGUGGAUGCUACAAAAGAAUCAACUCGCCUGGGAAGGCUGCUAAACCACAGUAAAACUGGCAACUGCCAGACCAAACUCCAUGACAUAGAUGGAAUAACACAUCUCACACUGGUGGCUUCCAGGGACAUUGAGUCAGAGGAAGAGCUGCUUUAUGACUAUGGUGACCGCAGCAAGGAAUCCAUCUCGGCUCACACUUUGCUCAAAUACUGAUGUGCUGUUUUUACACCAACAGAGUAUUCAAGAGAAUUACUAGGUGCAUUUAAUUAAAGCUUAUUUUUUUUCUUGGCCCUGAAUAUUCCCUUGGCACUAAACUGCCAACUUGGCAUUCCAGGUGAGACAAAUUAAGUGGGCAUUUUGUUUAUUUUUAAUCUGCCCUUUCAAGCAAUGUAUUUGGGCAAAACUGUGGCAGUAUGAACAAUAUUGAAGACAACCUUCAAGAUGACACAUGGAUCAAUUUGUUAAAACUGUACAUCAAUAUAUUGCUGGAUUUGGGUGUAGUUUUUAUACAUAUUUAGGCCUGUGCUUCCAAGAAGAUAUGAAUAAUAUUUGUAACAUUAGCAAUUUUUUUAAUGCCGUUUUUAUAUUCGUUCUAAUUUAUAAUGCUAGGUAUGGUUCUAGUUGAAGCAACAAUUUUCAUAUGAUCGUCAAUGCUCUCCAGGCUUCUGGGACACCAGCUUAUACUUGAUUUCAAAUGUAGAUAUUUUGCAAUGGGUGAAAUCCUAAUACAUUAACAAUUUACAAAGUAAGUUGCUCUAUGAGAGUAAAUUAAGUGUACAUAGACAAAUCUGUUCAGAUAUCUGGCUAGCAUGGAAGCUCAUUUUGCAAUGAAUAGAAAAGCUAGCUUGGCCUUUUGACAAUGUACCAAUUAAUAUUCACAGACAUGUAACAGUCCAACAUCCUCCCUGUAGGUCAGUGUAUUACAAAAUGUGUAACAAAUGAAGUGAUUUGUAACUUUAUCAUUCUAAACUGCUUUCUUUUACAGCUGCUCUAUUAUUUGAAAGGUAAAAUGGACUUUAAAAGCCCUUGUGUGAACUAGUGUAAAAUAGUUAUGCUCAGUCACUCCGAGCCUAAAAUGUAAAUUAUUAUGCAAUUUCUGGACAAGGAACAAUUUUGGUAACACUUUUAUAUUUGCUACAAGAGCUUAUAUAUUUAUCUAAUCGACAAAUCAUUUUGGGAAGGAUUCAUUACCAUGAUCUGUGCUACUCAACCCCAAGUUAGAGGCAGAUUAUGCUGAUGGGAUUCAGGUGUAUGAGUUAGGUAUAGUGAAUCUGGGGCACUAUAGUGGUCAUGGGGCUCGAUUCCAUCAGUAUCGCUGAAGUUCAAUUUGAAAUGGCUUUUUAAUUCUGAACUGACAUGCAGUGUUUGCCUUAAUGUUGAUUGCAUCUCUUUAGCACUGUAGAUAGAAUCAAGCCCUUGGAGGUCUGGUCUUUGUCUCUAAUAGGGCUACUGUUGCAACCAGUCUUGAAUGUUGGUCUUUGAACAGUUCCAUCGUCACAAUGUUCAACCACGUGUCCAAAGGAACUGUUACAGUUCCUUUGUUUGAGGACACAGGUGUGAGUCUGUACCAAUGAUGUAUAUAAACCCUGGAUUGCUAAUGCUAUAUUUUGACCAUUGAGAGGUUUUGAAGCCAUCAGUA